GCCUACGGGACGCAGCAGUGGGGGAUAUUGCACAAUGGGGGGAACCCUGAUGCAGCGACGCCGCGUGGGUGAAGGAGCGUUUCGGCGCGUAAAGCCCUAUCGGCAGGGAAGGAGGAGGACGGUACCUGACUAAGAAGCCCCGGCUAACUACGUGCCAGCAGCCGCGGUAAUACGUAGGGGGCAAGCGUUAUCCGGAUUUACUGGGUGUAAAGGGGACGCAGACGGCAGCGCAAGCCAGGAGUGAAAGCCCGGGGCCCAACCCC
rnacentral:rRNA from 1 species